rnacentral:rRNA from 1 species
UACGUGAGGGGGCAAGCGUUGUCCGGAUUUAUUGGGCGUAAAGAGCGUGUAGGCGGCCUGACAGGUCUGCUGUGAAAACCUCGAGGCUCAACCUCGAGAUGUCGGCGGAAACCGUCUGGCUAGAGUCCGGAAGAGGAGAGUGGAAUUCCUGGUGUAGCGGUGAAAUGCGCAGAUAUCAGGAAGAACACCUAUGGCGAAGGCAGCUCUCUGGGACGGUACUGACACUGAGACGCGAAAGCGUGGGGAGCGAACAGG